rnacentral:rRNA from 1 species
UACACACCGCCCGUCACACCAUGAGAGUUGGCAAUACCCAACGUACGUGAUCUAACCCGCAAGGGAGGAAGCGUCCUAAGGUAGGGUCAGCGAUUUGGGGUGAAGUCGUAACAAGGUACCC